UACGUAGGUGGCAAGCGUUGUCCGGAAUUAUUGGGCGUAAAGCGCACGCAGGCGGAUGCGCGCGUGGGGUGUGAAAUCUGGCCGCUUAACGGCCAGGCGCCAUCCCAUACGGCGCGUCUGGAGUGAUGCAGAGGUCGAUGGAAUUGCCGGUGUAGUGGUGAAAUGCGUAGAUAUCGGGAGGAACACCAGUGGCGAAGGCGACUACCUGGCCUGUUUCUUGACGCUGAGGCGCGAAAGCUAGGGGAGCAAACGGG
rnacentral:rRNA from 1 species